rnacentral:rRNA from 1 species
CGUCUAUAUACGUAUAGCAUAUCAAUAAGCGGAGGAAAAGAAACUAACAAGGAUUCCCUUAGUAACGGCGAGUGAAGCGGGAAGAGCUCAAAUUUGAAAUCUUCAAGGUUCUACCUUGACGAAUUGUAGUUUAUAGAAGUGUUUUCUGUUAGUAGGAGUGGCAAAAGUUCUUUGGAAUAGGACAUCAUAGAGGGUGAGAAUCCCGUAUUUGGUCAUUCCUUCUAGCGUUGUGAUACACUUACAACGAGUCGGAUUGUUUGGGAAUGCAGUCCAAAAUGGGUGGUAAAUUUCAUCUAAAGCUAAAUAUUGGCGAGAGACCGGAUAGCGAACAAGUACCGUGAGGGAAAGAUGAAAAGAACUUUGAAAAGAGAGUUAAACAGUACGUGAAAUUGUCAAAAGGGAAGCGUUUGACACCAGUGUUGUUUUUCCGAAAAUCAAUUACGAAUGUUUUAUUUUUGAGGAGUUAUGACUUCAUCGGCUUGCUUCUCUCUUUAUGAAACUUUCUUAAUGCACUUUUCGGUUAACAAGUCAACAUCAAUUUCUUUUGUUGUAAAAGGGUAUGAGGAAGGUGGCUUUCUUUUCGGAGAAAGUGUUUAUAGCCUUGUAGCCUCUGCAAUCGGAGAGAUUGAGGUCUGCAGCGUAGAUCCUUCGGGGUUAGAUACAGUUUGUGCUAAGUUAUAGCUUUUCAUAGACAACUUGUUGACUAUGUUUAGUCUUGUAGCUUACUCGCUUAUGCUAUUUUACCUACGCUUAGGAUGUUGACACACGCGCGUGCUCG